GAGUUUGAUCCUGGCUCAGGACGAACGCUGGCGGCGUGCUUAACACAUGCAAGUCGAGCGAUGAAGCUCCUUCGGGAGUGGAUUAGCGGCGGACGGGUGAGUAACACGUGGGUAACCUGCCUCAUAGAGGGGAAUAGCCUUUCGAAAGGAAGAUUAAUACCGCAUAAGAUUGUAGUACCGCAUGGUACAGCAAUUAAAGGAGUAAUCCGCUAUGAGAUGGACCCGCGUCGCAUUAGCUAGUUGGUGAGGUAACUGCUCACCAAGGCGACGAUGCGUAGCCGACCUGAGAGGGUGAUCGGCCACAUUGGGACUGAGACACGGCCCAGACUCCUACGGGAGGCAGCAGUGGGGAAUAUUGCACAAUGGGGGAAACCCUGAUGCAGCAACGCCGCGUGAGUGAUGACGGUCUUCGGAUUGUAAAGCUCUGUCUUUAGGGACGAUAAUGACGGUACCUAAGGAGGAAGCCACGGCUAACUACGUGC
rnacentral:rRNA from 1 species